rnacentral:rRNA from 3 species
AUAACAGGUCUGUGAUGCCCUUAGAUGUCCAGGGCUGCACGCGCGCUACACUGGAGGAAUCAGCGUGCUGUAACCAUUGCCGAAAGGGAUUGGUAACCCCUUGAAAAUCCUCCGUGAUCGGGAUCGGGAAUUGCAAUUAUUUCCCUUGAACGAGGAAUUCCUAGUAAGUGUGAGUCAUCAGCUCACGUUGAUUACGUCCCUGCCCUUUGUACACACCGCCCGUCGCUGCCCGGGACUGAGCCGUUUCGAGAAAAGCGGGGACUGCUGUUUCGAGACCCUUCGAGGUGGAGAUUCUUUGGUGGAAACCGCCUUAAUCGCAGUGGCUUGAACCGGGCAAAAGUCGUAACAAGGUUUCCGUAGGUGAACCUGCGGAAGGAUCAUUAUCGAGCUAAAUUAAAAAAAGACUCAUAACGUGCAUACAAUCCAUUUGUGCGUAUAUAUGAGCCAUGCGGUCACUUAUACACAUCGUGGUGGCAGUCGUCUGCUGUUUUUGGCGGGCAAUGACUUAUAAGUGCCGUGUGCCUAGGGGGUAUGAUCGGCAUGCUAUGCGCCUUUUGGCGUAUAGCAUGGGCGCAUACACCCGUUAACUGUAAAAACGGUGUCCAAUUUGGCGUCUACGCGUCACCUAGCUACUGCCUGGACCGUCGGUAGCGAUGAAAGGUGGCGAGAAAGUUCCUCUUUUUGAGUUGAGCAGACUUAAUGAGCCACGCUGGGUGGCCGCCAAAAACCCAAAACACUAACGUUAUUUUUACCUAUUGAAAAUGAAGUCGGGGUUAAUUGUCGUUUUCGAUGGUGGACCCCAUCUUCAAGCCUCUUGUAUAAAUCUUGGCGGUGGAUCACUCGGUUCGUGGAUCGAUGAAGAACGCAG